rnacentral:rRNA from 1 species
GACGAACGCUGGCGGCGUGCUUAACACAUGCAAGUCGAACGGAAAGGCCCUGCUUUUGUGGGGUGCUCGAGUGGCGAACGGGUGAGUAACACGUGAGUAACCUGCCCUUGACUUUGGGAUAACUUCAGGAAACUGGGGCUAAUACCGGAUAGGAGCUCCUGCUGCAUGGUGGGGGUUGGAAAGUUUCGGCGGUUGGGGAUGGACUCGCGGCUUAUCAGCUUGUUGGUGGGGGAGUGGCUUACCAAGGCUUUGACGGGUAGCCGGCCUGAGAGGGUGACCGGCCACAUUGGGACUGAGAUACGGCCCAGACGCCUACGGGAGGCAGCAGUGGGGAAUAUUGCACAAUGGGCGGAAGCCUGAUGCAGCAACGCCGCGUGCGGGAUGACGGCCUUCGGGUUGUAAACCGCUUUCGCCUGUUACGAAGCGUGAGUGACGGUAAUGGGUAAAGAAGCACCGGCUAACUACGUG